rnacentral:SRP_RNA from 1 species
GCCGGACGCGGUGGCGCGCGCCUGUAGUCCCAGCUACUCGGGAGGCUGAGAUGGGAGGAUCGCUUGAGCCCAGGAGUUCUGGGCUGUAGUGCGCUAUGCCGAUCGGGUGUCCGCACUAAGUUCGGCAUCAAUAUGGUGACCUCCCGGGAGCGGGGGACCACCAGGUUGCCUAAGGAGGGGUGAACCGGCCCAGGUCGGAAACGGAGCAGGUCAAAACUCUCGUGCUGAUCAGUAGUGGGAUCGCGCCUGUGAAUAGCCACUGCACUCCAGCCUGGGCAACAUAGCGAGACCUCGUCUCU